UACGUAGGUGGCGAGCGUUGUCCGGAUUUACUGGGCGUAAAGAGCGCGCAGGCGGUCGUACAAGUCGCGUGUGAAAGCCCCCGGCUCAACUGGGGAGGGUCACGCGAUACUGUUCGACUCGAAGGCAGGAGAGGGAAGUGGAAUUCCGAGUGUAGAGGUGAAAUUCGUAGAUAUUCGGAAGAACACCAGUGGCGAAGGCGGACUCACUGGACUGG
rnacentral:rRNA from 1 species